rnacentral:lncRNA from 1 species
UCCUGUGUAUAGAUCUCAGAGUUUACCCUGCUUAAACAAGCUAACUUGUCAUAGUUCACAGAUUCUAACAGAAGACAUGAGAGGCUGUUAUAACAGAGAUGAAGGAUGUUUCCAUUUGUGACACAGAAGAAGAUACAAGCUUCCUGUCUGCAUGGCUUGCUCCACAUCGCACGAGAGCAGCAAGGGGCUCAGUAAACUUUCAUGAGCUAUUUUCAGGAGUUACAAUAUAGUGAUGGUAACAUCUGCAUGCCAGAACAGAAAUGGACUCACUUCUUGCUAAAACCUUAUGAAAGUAAACCACUUGAUCAUUUCAAAAAGAAGUCUUCAACCUAUUGUCUGUCUUCUAGAAAACUCUGGUAGUAAAAGACAUUUAGAACUGGAAGUUGGCGUUUUAGAAUUUUUUUACUGUAUUUGAUCAGAAUGUAUUCAGUCUUAAGUGAUCAUAACUUACACGUUCAGCAGCU